UGUAACAGGUUAGAAAUGAGAAAGCCCCCAAUUUCCCACCUGAUUUUAAAGUCAAGAACUUGACAUGUAAUUUAACUUCUUAAAGUGCAGACCCCUCCACUGCUCUGGCUGCAUCUUGGACCACCCCCCUUGGGCCCUGCCACCUCGAGGAGCAAGCCCACCUUUUCCUCCACUGCUGGCACCACAUGACACAGAACCUACAUCCUGUGGUCAUCUGCUCGAUGACCUCGUGCCGAGUUCGCCUCAGUCAUUUCUUACUGCCCCAGUAUGUUUGAUUCCCAGUACUCCUGCCACAUUGCCGAAAAAUGGAAUGAACUUUGAGUCAUUUAGAAGAGAACAAGCAGCUAUUUGGAAAAAGCCAAGACAAAAGCUCAUCUACCUUGCCUGCUUCAUUAUUUAAGAUCCCAAAAGCCUCUACACAAGCCAACUCAAAGCAUGAACUUUUCUAGGGACCCUUUGGACAGACUGACUCCCUUUACUGAAAUCCCUGUCAUGCCAACAUUUCAGUUUUGGAAUUACAUCUUAGAAGCUUAACAACUUUUCUAUUUAAAUGACAUGUGUUUAAUACAAUUCAUC